rnacentral:pre_miRNA from 12 species
AACCGCCUGUGUAAAUACAUUAACACAGACGGUCGCAUUAUGUGAACCGCCUGUGUUAAUGGAUUUACACAGGCGGUU